UGCAUUUCUUUCAGUAAGCGUCCACUGAUGUUAUCUGGGCCGGUAGCUUUAUGUGGGUUGAUCUUAUUUAAGAGCUUUUUUGAUCCCGUUUGAUGUUAUGUGUAAUUCACUGAUUUUAGGGUGUGAACUGACGCCUUUGUUUGGUAUUGGGUCAUUUGUUACUGGGGUAAAUACAGAUUGAAACUGUUCGUUUAGAAGAUUUGCUUUCUCUGUAGCGUCUGUAAUGGUGAUGCCGUCUUUCUUUAGUGCAGAGAUACCAGAUUUGUCAGUUCUUAUUGACUUGAUGUAUUGAAAAAGUUUUUUAGGUUUGCUCUGAUUUUGUAUUUGAAUGUCUGGUUCAUUGAUGGGAAGAUCACAUAUGAGUUUUUCAAUAUAUUCCCAGUAGGCCUUUCUUUGUUCUUUUUGUACCUGAGCUUUCAUCUUUUUAUAUUUCUCGGUGUAUUCGCUGUUUUUUCGCCUUUUGAAAAGUUUGUUUUUCUUGUUAAUUUGACGUCUUAAUUUAUCAGAUAUCCACGGUAAUCGGUGUUUGUUUCGUAGGAUCUUUGAUGGAAUAUGUUUUUCGACAGAGCUGAUGAGUUUGGUUUUAAAUAGUUCCCAUAGCUCAUUGGUGUUAAGAGAAUCAUAGUUGUCAAUGAUUGUUUUUAGAUGAUACCUAUGUCAAAUUUAAUUUCGUCCCAGUUGGCUUUGUUAUACUUGUAUACUUUUUGUGGGGUUUCUCUUAUUUUCUUAAGC
rnacentral:lncRNA from 1 species